rnacentral:rRNA from 1 species
CUAANGGGGAAACCUGAUGGAGCGACGCCGCGUGGAGGAUAAGGUCUUCGGAUUGUAAACUCCUGUCAUGCGAGAGCAAGAUUGGUCAUUUAAUAGGUGAUUAAUUUGAUAGUAUCGCAAGAGGAAGAGACGGCUAACUCUGUGCCAGCAGCCGCGGUAAUACAGAGGUCUCAAGCGUUGUUCGGAAUCACUGGGCGUAAAGGGUGCGUAGGUGGCGUGGUAAGUCAGAUGUGAAAGCCCAGGGCUCAACCCUGGAAUUGCAUCCGAUACUGCCGUGCUAGAGAACUGAAGGGGAGUCUGGAAUUCUCGGUGUAGCAGUGAAAUGCGUAGAUAUCGAGAGGAACACCAAUGGCGAAGGCAAGACUCUGGGCAGUUUCUGACACUGAGGCACGAAGGCCAGGGUAGCGAACGGGAUUAGAUACCCCGGUAGUCCUGGCAGUAAACGGUGCACGUUUGGUGUGGGAGGAUUCGACCCCUUCCGUGCCGGAGCUAACGCGUUAAGCGUGCCGCCUGGGAAGUACGGUCGCAAGAUUAAAACUCAAAGAAAUUGACGGGGACCCGCACAAGCGGUGGAGUAUGUGGCUUAAUUCGAUGCAACGCGAAGAACCUUACCUGGUCUUGACAUGCAUCCUGUCGUUAGUGAAAGCUAGCUAGUGUAGCAAUACACGGUUUGCACAGGUGCUGCAUGGCUGUCGUCAGCUCGUGUCGUGAGAUGUUGGGUUAAGUCCCGCAACGAGCGCAACCCCUGUGAUUUGUUGCCAUCGGGUAAUGCCGGGCACUCGAAUCAGACUGCCUCGAUCAACGAGGAGGAAGGUGGGGACGACGUCAAGUCCGUAUGGCCCUUACGACCAGGGCUGCACACGUACUACAAUGCCCAGCACAAUGUGAACCGAAACCGCGAGGUGGAGGAAAUCCUUA